GCAGACAAAGCUCUCCCCUGGCAAAGGGACCUGACCUCCUGCAGCUCUGUCACCUCAGCCCUGGAAGAUUGCAGCCUUGGCCCUGAGGACUGCUGUGUGCCUUGGGCAGUUUGCAAGGAGAUGAAGCGCACUGUGAAGUAGCAGCAGUUUAACCUGAGGAAUGGGAAAGCCAACAUCUGUGAAGAGCCAGGACAGUAGCCAUGGCCAUUGCUUUUCCAUGUCUAUUUUCUGAGCACUCCAGCAUAUCUGGUCUUUCAUAUGGAUGUCCUCCAGAAACAAGGCAAUGCAAGCUGAUCUCCACAGAGACAGAGAGACACUGCACCCUGACCUUGGUGCACAGGGAUUUUUUUCACUUGUCACACAAACAUUUUACUGGCACUGGAGUGGAAAGGGAGCAGUUCCCAACCGACAGAGUAGCCAUACUUCCUUGGAUCAGCCCAUAACUUGGGAUUUAAAAAAAUUGUAAAAGCGAAAGGAGACCUCUUUUUCUUAAAGCAGAAAUGCCCAGUAAUACCCAUGUUCUACCUCAUGUAAGUUUGAAGAAUUUUUAAGGCAUCGCAUGCUGAGGAUGAUACAGGGGAGCAUCAGCCAGAGUCACUGGUGUCCUCUUAGGGCUUGCUGCUGGAUCAGCCUGCAAGAUCCCCAAUAGUUUAACUGCAGGCAGGAUUUAAAGCUCUGCAGAUCACAGCUACCUGAGCAAUAUAACAGAUUUUACAGGACAAGAACAGGUUCUGUGUACGGACAAUGGGCAUUGCCACACAGGCACAGUCCCUGCACUGCCACGGCCGGGCCACGCUGCCUCCUCAGACACUGAUUUCCUGAGGCUUUGCCUGAUGCUGUUUUAAUUCUUCACACUGAGGGGCUCCAUCACUCACUCACCCUGGGAGAUCAUUCCACAGUUUAGUAGACAUCACUACAGCAGUUUUACCCCUGACAUUCAUCCAAAAUUCUACUUUUCCUAAUUUAAUUCCAUUCUCUACAAUUUGUUUUUUCCUUCAUGGAUAUUAAGGAGUUCCUUUCUUAUUCCAGAUAAAGUCAAGGUAUUAGCAACUUGACUUCACUCCUUAGCUGGGGAGGUGUAACCUUGAGCAAGUACAGGUAGGUAAUUAUGGACUGUACUUAGGGGUCCGCGAAAACUUUCUGCCUGAUUUCCCAUCCCUGCAGGGAUGAUAAUUGGUGUUCCACAUGGAAGUAUCCCAGCCCCUCUGGCAGAGAGCAGGGCAGCACUGAGAGGCUCCAAGAGCAGCUCUGUGCAGCCCCCCCAGGCUGGGAGAGGAGAGGGAAAUGUGUCCCAGCUCUGCAGAACACCAGAGACCAAUCAGAGCCGUGAAAUUCACUGCCCAAGGGACCACGGUCAGAUGAGUUUCUCCGCAGGCUGUGGUGCCUCACUGCAGAAACAGGGCAAUGUGACUCUUGGAAGUUAAAUUCCUAAGGAGAGGAAGGAAUGGGUUAUGCUCUGAUUGCACAUUGGCUUAAAUUGGGAGCUGCUCUAAUAAUCUGUGGAAUGGGAUGGGUCUGAGCGCCAGCUGAAGUGAAAGGCAGCUCAGGCUGAGGCCAUGUGCGUCCCAGGCUUGCUUUUAAUUUCUACAUUAUUUUUCCUUAAUAUAAAUAUCAACCACAACAGGUACUAACGGAAGACUCUGGGAGCCUUUCCCAGCUGCUUUGGGCUUCAAUCCCCAAAGCUUGCCUCUCAUAAUUCAGUUUCACCUUCAGGCACUUUAAAGUUAAUAGACUCAUUUGAGCAAAGGGCUUAUUGGAAAUCCAUGUUGGAAAAUAGUGAGCGUAAGUGUGCUGGUGCCAAGCUAUAAACACAUUUAUACAGUGCAGUAAAUCAGUGCUGCUGCCUCUCUUUGGAAGGGCCGGGCCAAUUAAGCUGAAUGUACAGGAUAUGAGGAUGGAACCUGUUCAGCUGCAGGCAGGUAGCAAAGACUGCGGCCACACCAUCCUGCUGGGCCUCAUUUUGACAUUGCCCUGCCUGGCCAAAUUUGAUACCAUUCGCUUUUGGCUUGUCAUUCACUGACUGCUGAAAAAGAACAGGGAUUUGGAAAGGCACCGGCAGCAUUGUGUGGAUGCAGCACGAGGACAGGCAAAUGGAAGAGGCAGGAAAGGUGAUGCCUGUGGACAUAUACUGGUACAAGGUCCGCAAAUGAGUUGGGCUCUGAAAUGCAGUAAUGAUGCUGGACUCACUCUCAGAAUCCCUGCAUAGGCAGACGUUCUAUGAUUUGGCCAAUGACUUCUUACAAACAAGACAAUGUUCUUUGUUAUCAGAGCAUUUCAUUGAACUACCUUAAUGACUCCCCUGCCUCUUAAGUGUUAUCUAAAAUACAAAACAAGGUACAAUAAUAGGAUGGGAUGUUACAGAGAACUGGUUGGCUUUUAGUGCAUUAAGUCCCUGGAUAUUAUUUAUAUUUUCUGUUUGUGUAAAACCUAUAAUUGACUAUUAAAUGUGAAGUUACCAUUGCCUGAAUAGGUGCUUAGAUCAUAGAAGCUGUAGCUGGAUGCUGACAGCUGGCAGAGCUAUCUUGCAAAAACUUCAAAAUGCAUUAGAAUGCACACCAAAAAAAAGUAAUUUUUUAAAUGAGAGAAAAGAGGAAGAAAAAGAACCCUUUGUCCCAUUUAAAAUGGAAGAAUUCAGACUUUGAGAGAGAACUAAGAAGGGGGAUUUCAAACAUUCUUUUAAAGGUUUUGUUUUCCUUUUAAGAUUCAAAAAAGUCAAGCACUCUUGCUGCUGCCCCAGUCCCUCAUGCAAGAUGGUCUCAUGCUACUCUGCCAAUACCUAAAGCAGGAGGAAGAGAUUUCCAAAUCAAGUGCCAAAAGCAACUACCAGGUCACCAGCAGCGCCUGCCCAGGUCCUAACCCAUGGCACUAAUUAUCCAUCUGCCUUGUCAGCUGCCUGAACAGAUUCUCCAUCCUGUGGCUGGGCACAGGAACAGGCUGCCUUUCCUCUUCUCACACAUCUUACCAUGGGUAGGUUUGUUUGCAAUGAUUUUUAAACUUUGUUCUAGCUAUUCUGCUUGCACCUUCACUCCUCUCAUUACUUGUUUCACUGCUCAUUUACUCACUGGAACAAAAAUUGUUUGAGACAAGCACUAAAGAAGUGAAUGUCUGUGAACAGAAACCAAACUCAUUCCCUUCAGGAAGUUGGCAGCUCACUGCACCAUGAUAAAACAGAGGUAUUCACCUUUAAAUCCUGGCUUUUGAAAGCAAGGAGAAACUCACAUAAGCACAAAGCCCAUAAUACAAACCCCAAAUCCACAAAUAUCUCCUGCGAGCAGGGCAAUGCACUCACCGUGGUGGGGAGCAGCCUAUAGCUCUGGAGCAGCAUUCAUGAGCAGCCUGGCACUCGGCAGUCCUUAGCACAGGAAAUGCUGCCACCUGAACAAAUAAAGGAGAUAUCCUGGCAUGGGCCAUGGAAGCCUCUCUUUUUAACUUGUAUCAGCAUCAUCUGGGGGAAAAGGGAACCACAAAGAGGUGGGAAGAGCAGUGGCCUCUGACUGCAACUUCCCUCCUGCGGCACCCUCGUCACAGGCUGCUGCCUCCUACCUUAAUCCUUUAAUUCUUCACCAAGGCCAGUGGAUAUUUUCCACCUUCACAGCUUCUUCAUGGCAUGAAUUAGUGAGCUGAAUCUGCCUUAAAGUAUAUCCGAGCUCCCAUCCUCUCUACACCAAAGCCAUCAUUACCUGCAGAGAAAACAAUAGCACAGAGUGAAGGGUAAAAAUCUCUGUUCUAGAAAGUGACUACUCUUGGCUGCCUAAGGGGCUGUUCCCCUCAGCAUGGCACUGGCUGUGCAAUGCAUUUUCUUUCACACACAGUACUCUUGGUUUCUUAAUAUCUCGACUGGUUCUUCCAGUACAUUAGUCCCAUUUGCUUCUACAGCUACAUCCCUAACCAGCCUAAUUUGUCCUCUUUAUCAUCUUGAAGAAAUUUUGAAAGACAGUUCAGAAAUUUUUCUAUCUGAGUUUUCCAAGUGUGUUUCACUAUUCCAGUGUCUGUUAUAUUGAGCUUGGAGCAUCCUCAAAUCUACAAGGUAUGAGAGACUUCAUUCAGAGCAGAUCCUUCAUUAAGUUUAACACCAGACUGGGGUGGCUCCACAUUUGCUUUUUCACACUCACAUUAAACAGACUUUAAACAGUUGUUGACUUAUUUGUGGUAUGUGAUGUUGCAUGAUCUGGAAAUUAAAUAUCAGGAUUGUAUUUCACCCCCAAGUCCCAAGGGGUUAAUAAAGGAUUCUGUUUGCUGAUUGUUUU